CCCCCUCUCCCCUGUAUUAUUGUGCUAUGGUACAGUUUUGUAUGCUUGUCUUUAAUUUUUGCUAAUGUGCUUUGUCUAUAUGCCUAUUUUGUGCUUCUUUGUUACAUAUUUUCUUUCUUUUUAUAGUGAUUAAGACAAUUAUACAAUGUUGACUGCUGUACCAAUAUUUUUGACAUCUUUACCCGUUUGUGUCUGUUUGUUUUGUUCACACAUCGUUGUCAGUGUAAUUGAAUUUGAUGCGACUGGCAUACAAGUGAGAAGUGUAGCUAUAGCC
rnacentral:lncRNA from 1 species